rnacentral:rRNA from 2 species
AAAUUGAAGAGUUUGAUCAUGGCUCAGAUUGAACGCUGGCGGCAGGCCUAACACAUGCAAGUCGAGCGGUAGCACAGAGAGCUUGCUCUCGGGUGACGAGCGGCGGACGGGUGAGUAAUGUCUGGGAAACUGCCUGAUGGAGGGGGAUAACUACUGGAAACGGUAGCUAAUACCGCAUAAUGUCGCAAGACCAAAGUGGGGGACCUUCGGGCCUCAUGCCAUCAGAUGUGCCCAGAUGGGAUUAGCUAGUAGGUGGGGUAACGGCUCACCUAGGCGACGAUCCCUAGCUGGUCUGAGAGGAUGACCAGCCACACUGGAACUGAGACACGGUCCAGACUCCUACGGGAGGCAGCAGUGGGGAAUAUUGCACAAUGGGCGCAAGCCUGAUGCAGCCAUGCCGCGUGUGUGAAGAAGGCCUUCGGGUUGUAAAGCACUUUCAGCGGGGAGGAAGGCGGUAAGGUUAAUAACCUUGUCGAUUGACGUUACCCGCAGAAGAAGCACCGGCUAACUCCGUGCCAGCAGCCGCGGUAAUACGGAGGGUGCAAGCGUUAAUCGGAAUUACUGGGCGUAAAGCGCACGCAGGCGGUCUGUCAAGUCGGAUGUGAAAUCCCCGGGCUCAACCUGGGAACUGCAUUCGAAACUGGCAGGCUAGAGUCUUGUAGAGGGGGGUAGAAUUCCAGGUGUAGCGGUGAAAUGCGUAGAGAUCUGGAGGAAUACCGGUGGCGAAGGCGGCCCCCUGGACAAAGACUGACGCUCAGGUGCGAAAGCGUGGGGAGCAAACAGGAUUAGAUACCCUGGUAGUCCACGCCGUAAACGAUGUCGAUUUGGAGGUUGUGCCCUUGAGGCGUGGCUUCCGGAGCUAACGCGUUAAAUCGACCGCCUGGGGAGUACGGCCGCAAGGUUAAAACUCAAAUGAAUUGACGGGGGCCCGCACAAGCGGUGGAGCAUGUGGUUUAAUUCGAUGCAACGCGAAGAACCUUACCUGGUCUUGACAUCCACAGAACUUUCCAGAGAUGGAUUGGUGCCUUCGGGAACUGUGAGACAGGUGCUGCAUGGCUGUCGUCAGCUCGUGUUGUGAAAUGUUGGGUUAAGUCCCGCAACGAGCGCAACCCUUAUCCUUUGUUGCCAGCGGUUAGGCCGGGAACUCAAAGGAGACUGCCAGUGAUAAACUGGAGGAAGGUGGGGAUGACGUCAAGUCAUCAUGGCCCUUACGACCAGGGCUACACACGUGCUACAAUGGCAUAUACAAAGAGAAGCGACCUCGCGAGAGCAAGCGGACCUCAUAAAGUAUGUCGUAGUCCGGAUUGGAGUCUGCAACUCGACUCCAUGAAGUCGGAAUCGCUAGUAAUCGUAGAUCAGAAUGCUACGGUGAAUACGUUCCCGGGCCUUGUACACACCGCCCGUCACACCAUGGGAGUGGGUUGCAAAAGAAGUAGGUAGCUUAACCUUCGGGAGGGCGCUUACCACUUUGUGAUUCAUGACUGGGGUGAAGUCGUAACAAGGUAACCGUAGGGGAACCUGCGGUUGGAUCACCUCCUUACCUUAAAGAA